ACACCUCCCUCAGGAGCUUUAUCCUUUACUGUUUGUACGCUUACCUGUUGAUGUGGUUAUAAGCUCUGACUCAAGAGCUCUCGCUGUUUGCCUCCAAAAAACACUGCAUCAGGUAUGUCUCUGCGGUGAAGCCAGCUGUGAGUGAACAAAAGGGCAACAAAGAAAUGCAAAGCACCAACGUGCAGAGCGACGUGAAGAGAAAGUUACACGUCUGUGUGCGAGAGAAUGUGUGCUUGAUGGGAAAGCAAGACACAGCUAAAGCAACCUUCUCCUCAAGACUCCCCAGGAACUCCUUAAGGUCACAAGUUUUAGUCUGUGUACUCCAAGGAUCCACUUUUUGCUGUUUAGGCUGGGAAGGCACCGGGCCAGCUGGUAUCUCUGAAAACUGUUGAAAAUCAUGCCAAAUCUGGACAGCCUCGCUGUCACAUCACUGACCAAACCCUGAAUCUUUACAUUCCUGAAUGAUGGCACAACAUGCCUUCCCUGAAGGUGCUCGCAAUGCAAAAGAAGGUGGAGAUGUCGGCCCAUGUUAGCCCCUACGAUAUGCAAAUCCUCAGGCAUGAAACCUGGGGUUUACCCACACAUUGAAUUCAGAUUCAGACAUCCGCCCUCCUCACAAGCUCACUGUUCAGCCCUUUCCUGAUGAUGCAUUCAAGGUAAAACAGCCUGUGAGUGUUAUACAAAGCUUCUGCAAAUCCCUAGAAAGCUGUCUCGAUGGCAGCAGUUUGGAAACAUGCUGUAGUGCUGUAGCCACUGCACAACAGCUAGACUCCAAUGGUUGUUUUAAUCUUGUUUAAGCUACUCUCUCAGCAGGUAACUGGGAGACAUAAAUUAUCUACUACCAGCCAGCAAGGUGCCCGUGCUGCAGAAGGUUUUUAUGUUACUCGGGAACACAUUAUAUCCAGCUUUGGAGAUUCAGUGAAAGAAACGACAGUGUUCUUAAUGGUAGGACCUCUUAAAUGUAAAGGGGCAUGCAGACCUUAGACCUAAAGAAAGCAAUAAAAACUGUAAUGGAAAAUUUUCAGGAAGAAAAGUUUGGAAAAUAUCUGUACUCUACUUUUAACUGACUCCUGCACUACCUACUGGUUUUUUUCCUCUCAUAUAUAAAGAUCAUCUGUCUACCUGUGGCCCAAAAGUACUUUGAUUCUAGGCUGAAGGAAAUAACAACAAUAUAGUACAAAAGUAAAAUUCCCAUGAAAGCACACAGCAUGUGUAUAUUUCUUCUUUGUACUGUGCGAGGUCUAUACAAAAAGUGCACAGUCCUUCAAGACCUCAGAGAUGUAAAGGGAUAUGAUGCAGAAAAUGAAAACACUGAGUGACAUGGCUGCAUGCAGCAUCCUUGCAGAGCACCGAGGAUGCUGUUCGCAGAGCCUACAAACCAAAGCCCGUCCUGAUCUGCCUUCAUGCCGUUCCCAUUCACCGCAGAGAGCAAAUCAGGUGAAAAGCACAGAUAUGUUACAGCAGAAUUACAGACAGCAGUCCCUGGAGACUCACAGUGCAUUUUCACCAUUAACAAAAUAGCAUCUGAAAGGGUUUAUGCAAAAGUAUGAAACUGGAACGUUCAGCCUAAGAAACAAUCCUCUACAUAACAGCUGCACCUUCCUGUCCCCUUUAUUUUUCCUUUUUGGCAUGCUAAAGAUCUUUUGUAUAACUUGUUAGCUGAAGUGUGUGGAUAUGCUUCAUCUGCAGCCCCGCUACCAGAUGCUGAAGAGGCAGCAGGAGUGGAAAGCUGCCUUCAGGCUCUCCCCUCUGACAGACAUCUGCUGGAGAAAAGCAGUGUGCAGCUGUGCCUCUUCUCUGAGACCACUCCCAUGUAAAAUCCUACAGGGGCCGGUCCUGUCUCUUUUCCUUUCCAUCAUGUGCAGAAGAGCUGUAGGAAAGGUCAGGAGAAGCCCAGGGCUUUGAUACCAUCAAUCUGUUGAUGGCAACCAGCUCGCAUGUUCAGCUGAUGCAAUCAGUGCCAUGACACAGAUGUCACAAAACUUACAAGAGAUAAGCCCAAAGAUUAAAAUCAGUUGGCUGGAGCUGAACUAAGGAAGAAAGACAUGGUGCUGGAAGGAAAGAGGAGACCUUGAUGCAGUUAAGGCAGUGAGGGAAUCCUGCUUUCACAUCGGACAAAUGCUAUAUGAUUUGCGGUCCCGGUGUAAACCACUGGAUUGCCCCUGGAUUCAGUUUGGCUUGCAAAGUGCUCAUGUCUUUUCUUGCCUGUUCGGCUGUCAUUUUUUGUGGUAAAGGUGACUCAUUUUACCUUUACUGUGAGGCUGCUAGAGAUUUGCUCUGGUUAAAAAAGAGAACAAAGAAUAAACCAUGUCAAAUAAAGCAGAAACAU
rnacentral:lncRNA from 7 species